rnacentral:rRNA from 1 species
UACGUAGGGUGCAAGCGUUAAUCGGAAUUACUGGGCGUAAAGCGUGCGCAGGCGGUUUUGUAAGUCUGUCGUGAAAUCCCCGGGCUCAACCUGGGAAUUGCGAUGGAGACUGCAAGGCUAGAAUCUGGCAGAGGGGGGUAGAAUUCCACGUGUAGCAGUGAAAUGCGUAGAGAUGUGGAGGAACACCGAUGGCGAAGGCAGCCCCCUGGGUCAAGAUUGACGCUCAUGCACGAAAGCGUGGGGAGCGAACAGG